rnacentral:antisense_RNA from 1 species
CUUCACCGAACCCAACCACAGUGGCCGAUCCCGCUCCUGACCGUAAGUCGCCAGGAUCGCCUGCGCCUC